rnacentral:rRNA from 1 species
AUGGCGUCGAGCACCGGGCUGACAGCUCCGAGCUCACCGGUUGGGACAAAUACUGCUCCUCCACCGGCGACCACCAUGGAGCCCAAUAUGGACGCCGGGCUGCUAGCAUUGGCUUCCUCCGGAUCUUUCCACGAUCUGGAAUCAUUCCUCGACGGGAAACCAGCCGCCUACACCAUGGGAAGCUCGGCCACGCAGCCACCUGAUCUGUACGCCGUUACCGUUGGAGGUAACACUCUUCUCCAUGUGGUGGCCGCCAGCCAUGGCGACUCUGAGGACUUACUGGAUAAAGCCAGACUUGUCUACAGCAAGGCGCACAGCCUCCUCUUCGUGCAAAACAACGAGGGAGAUACGCCCCUGCAUUGUGCUGCACGGGCGUGGAAUAUCCCAAUGAUGUCUCUUCUCAUUGAUCUUGCCAAUGGCCAGGGUAUUAACAACGCUAAGGGGCUGCUGGAAACACAGAACAAGCUCAAAGAGACAGCCUUGCACGAGGCCGUCCGCUUUGGGAGCAAUGAUAUGGUCAAUUUGCUCAUGGCCCGUGAUCCAGAAUUGGCCACUCUUCCUGAGGAAGGUACUUCACCAUUGUACAUCGCCAUCUUACUGGAAAAUGGAAUCAUCGCAAAAACACUCUACGAGUUGAGCGGUGGGGUUCUUUCAUACUCUGGACCAAAUGGACGAAAUGCAUUGCAUGUUGCUGUUCAGCGGAGCCAAGGUACCGACUUUAACCUGAAUUUCACCUACCAUUAUUAG